CCUGAUAAUGGCACACAUUUUGGAGUCAGUGAUGUAUCUGUUUUCCUGUGUGGCUAGUUUCUAAAAGGCUUUUUAUUUGUUUGGUCUAAGGAAUGUUGAGUUGUUCUCAUCAGAGAGAUCCUGAUGAUUUGAAAGAUGGUAAAAUCUUGAUGCUGUGUCCUCUUGUGCAUCAACAGCUAUGGAACCAGCUCAAGUAAAGGUGGAGCCUGUGGAACUUACCUGGGACAAACAGAGUGCUGGGUCACUGGGGCUGCCACCGUUGACAUUUCCUCUCCUGGCCCAGACCCAGUUGAGGCUGCAAGCUCUCAACUGUGACCCUUUCCCAGAAAGCCACAGAGAGUGAGUUUCCCACAUCUCUAAUCCCUGAUCCCUGAGGUUCAGAGAAGAGCUCAGAUGGCCUUUCUCAAGAGAAGCCUAAGCCUCCACCAAGCCUCGCUCU
rnacentral:lncRNA from 1 species